GGAGAGGAGACAGAGGUCUGAAGCUGGGUCACAGCUAGACAGGACCCAGUAAGAGGUAAAUCUAGAACAAAUGCAAGAAGUAAAAGAGUGAAAGACAAAUGAGUGGACAGGGCACAAACAGGGAAGAAUGGUAGACUGCCGGGAUAGGGGCUGCACAUAAAGGAAAGACAGAUGAUUUCUCUGUGUGUGUGACUCGAGGGGUGGAGAUGAAAAAGAUAAGAGUGAAAGGAAAGGGAUGAAAAGGGAAAAGGGAAUAAGUAAAAAGACAAAAUAAGUAAUCAGUGCACAAGUACUAGUUAAAUGCUUAAAAAAUCACCAGGCUGUUAAGCUGAGCUGGGAGAAGAGUCACAACCAUACCCAAGAGGGGACCAACAGAAAGACAGGGGCAGACAAUUUAAGUAGCUAGCUACUGAGGUAAAAAUGAAAAAAAGCAAAAAGAAAAAUAGAAGAUGGAAAAGGUGAGAAGCAAGAGAGGGAAAACCCUAAGGAGACGCUGGCCCAGAAACCUUUUUAACUUUCUGUAAAAAUCUUCAAGGCCCCAAACUAGGCCAAGAUUCUGACUGACAUUUCUGAGCUCACCAGCUGCCGUUUCCUUGAGAGAAUUCUGACAGGGAGGCAUAGAAAUGCAAGCCAACACUGCCAGCUCUGGAGAAAAAAAAUAAUAAUAAUACUAACAACCCAUGCUCUAAACACCUCCAUGGGGCUGACGCCUGCCAGGGAGGAAGGCGCACAGAGGAGGGACCUGCCUGCAACUUUUCCCCACACUGCCUGGCUGACAUCCCCACAGAUGUCUACCUACUCCCUUGCUACCUGACAGAGGUAGAGAAGGACGGUUGGGCUGGGACGAGGUUAGCCAGAGGACGAGCUGGACAGCAGCAGCCCCGAGACCCCUCUGUCAUUGGUAGGAGGAGGAAGAUGAAGGUGAAAUGCCUCACUGCAGAGCCAGCAGGACGCAUGCCCAGGAGGAAGGGACUCAGGACAAGAAAAAGGCUUCAUCAUUAUCCUACACAAACCACUGUAGAACCAAGCCCUUCUUGGUGGGUCCCCUGCCUUCCCACCCCCAUCAAUCAAAGCGUGGACCAGUGAUGUUCAAAACGUACCAGGAAUCCUCACGCUAAAGACUGCAGUCACUUCCCAAAGGAGCUGCCCCCUGCUCUGGCUGGUCAAACGGAACCAAGUCCGUCUUCCUGAGAGGUUUGGUCCCCUUCAACCAGCUACAGCAGGGCUGGCCCUGCCCCGUCCGUGGAGGAACAGAAGAGAUCCACCUGUGACUGAACUGACCUACUAAUGCUUCCCUUAAGGAAAAGACUCUGAUUUUAUCCUAUAUUCUCAUGCUCCCAACAGGGGAAAAAAGAGGGGCCCUGGGUUCAAAAGUUUGCAAGGUUUUCAUGCCCACUACACAGAGCUCUGUGCCUUUGCACCCACAGCCAGACUUGCUCACAUGCUCUUGACACACACACACAGUCAGCAAAGAUUUGUGCAUGGAAUUUUUGCCAACCCUGGGCCAGCCAGGGGGAGAACAUGAGACCUCAAAGACAGGGCCCCUGCUCACAAGGGGCUCACAGUCUAAGAGACUGGACAUAUGAAUAUGGCACAAUUCAAUGGAAUCGCAAGUCAGAGCAUGGCUAGUUCCAUGACAUAAUUCUUCUUACAUAGCACACCAGAUAUGCCUGGUACCUUGUGUACCAUCAAGUCUCUAUUGGUCCAGUCAGCUCAAGAUACCUAUUCACUAAGCAACAUACAUGUGACUCAGUUUCCUGAUCUGUAGAAUGGGGAUCAUAAUUAUGGCACCUACCCUAUAAGGUUUUAUGUGGAAUGAAAUGAGAAUACAUGUAAAGGAGUUUAAAAGUUCUCAAUAAUUGUUACCUGUUAUUAAGGGGGAACCCUGACGUGCCCUGCCAAUUUCUCUUUCAAAA